GCUGACGUAGCUCAGUUGGUAGAGCAGCGGUUUCGUAAACCGCAGGUCGGUGGUUCAAAUCCACUCGUCAGCU
rnacentral:tRNA from 1 species